UUUACUCAACUUGUUUGUCUUUUAUUAUAUAAGCCAACCCCGUUUUUUGUAGAGUAGACCUCCACUAAAGUCUUCCAGCCGUCUACAUUCUCAGCACCAACUGAACCACCCGAGCCCAAAGAUGUUCACCUUGAAGAAAUCCCUGUUACUCCUUUUCUUCCUUGGGACCAUCAACUUAUCUCUCUGUGAGGAAGAGAGAGAUGCCGAUGAAGAAGAGAGAAGAGAUGAUCCCGAAGAAAGACAUGUUGAAGUGGAAAAACGAUUUAUAGGAGCUCUUGUAAAUGCACUCACUCGUGUUUUGGGAAAAUAACCAAAAAAUUGUAAAACUUUGGAAAUGGAAUUGGAAAUCAUCUGAUGUGGAAUAUUAUUUAGCUAAAUGCACAUCAGAUGUCUUAUAAAAAAUAAAGAUAUAACAUGCA